rnacentral:rRNA from 3 species
AGACCCGAAACCCGGUGAUCUAGCCAUGGGCAGGUUGAAGGUUGGGUAACACUAACUGGAGGACCGAACCGACUAAUGUUGAAAAAUUAGCGGAUGACCUGUGGCUGGGGGUGAAAGGCCAAUCAAACCGGGAGAUAGCUGGUUCUCCCCGAAAGCUAUUUAGGUAGCGCCUCGUGAAUUCAUCUCCGGGGGUAGAGCACUGUUUCGGCUAGGGGGCCAUCCCGGCUUACCAACCCGAUGCAAACUGCGAAUACCGGAGAAUGUUAUCACGGGAGACACACGGCGGGUGCUAACGUCCGUCGUGAAGAGGGAAACAACCCAGACCGCCAGCUAAGGUCCCAAAGUCAUGGUUAAGUGGGAAACGAUGUGGGAAGGCCCAGACAGCCAGGAUGUUGGCUUAGAAGCAGCCAUCAUUUAAAGAAAGCGUAAUAGCUCACUGGUCGAGUCGGCCUGCGCGGAAGAUGUAACGGGGCUAAACCAUGCACCGAAGCUGCGGCAGCGACGCUGAUGCGUUGUUGGGUAGGGGAGCGUUCUGUAAGCCUGUGAAGGUGGCCUGUGAGGGUUGCUGGAGGUAUCAGAAGUGCGAAUGCUGACAUAAGUAACGAUAAAGCGGGUGAAAAGCCCGCUCGCCGGAAGACCAAGGGUUCCUGUCCAACGUUAAUCGGGGCAGGGUGAGUCGACCCCUAAGGCGAGGCCGAAAGGCGUAGUCGAUGGGAAACGGGUUAAUAUUCCCGUACUUGGUGUUACUGCGAAGGGGGGACGGAGAAGGCUAUGUUGGCCGGGCGACGGUUGUCCCGGUUUAAGCGUGUAGGUGUGUGUUCCAGGUAAAUCCGGUUCACUUUAACACUGAGGCGUGAUGACGAGGCACUACGGUGCUGAAGCAACAAAUGCCCUGCUUCCAGGAAAAGCCUCUAAGCAUCAGGUAACAUCAAAUCGUACCCCAAACCGACACAGGUGGUCAGGUAGAGAAUACCAAGGCGCUUGAGAGAACUCGGGUGAAGGAACUAGGCAAAAUGGUGCCGUAACUUCGGGAGAAGGCACGCUGACACGUAGGUGAAGUGAUUUACUCAUGGAGCUGAAGUCAGUCGAAGAUACCAGCUGGCUGCAACUGUUUAUUAAAAACACAGCACUGUGCAAACACGAAAGUGGACGUAUACGGUGUGACGCCUGCCCGGUGCCGGAAGGUUAAUUGAUGGGGUCAGCGCAAGCGAAGCUCCUGAUCGAAGCCCCGGUAAACGGCGGCCGUAACUAUAACGGUCCUAAGGUAGCGAAAUUCCUUGUCGGGUAAGUUCCGACCUGCACGAAUGGCGUAAUGAUGGCCAGGCUGUCUCCACCCGAGACUCAGUGAAAUUGAACUCGCUGUGAAGAUGCAGUGUACCCGCGGCAAGACGGAAAGACCCCGUGAACCUUUACUAUAGCUUGACACUGAACAUUGAGCCUUGAUGUGUAGGAUAGGUGGGAGGCUUUGAAGUGUGGACGCCAGUCUGCAUGGAGCCGGCCUUGAAAUACCACCCUUUAAUGUUU